AAUGCUGACGAGUGGCGAACGGGUGAGUAAUGUAUAGUUAAUUUGCCUCUUAGAUAGGGAUAGCCAUUGGAAACGAUGAUUAAUACCUAAUACUCCUUUAACUGUAAGAGUUAAAGGGAAACGCUUUAUUGUGCUAAGAGAUAAGACUAUAUCCUAUCAGUUAGUUGGUAGUGUAAGAGACUACCAAGACAAUGACGGGUAGCUGGUCUGAGAGGAUGAUCAGCCACACUGGAACUGAGACACGGUCCAGACUCCUACGGGAGGCAGCAGUGGGGAAUAUUGCACAGUGGAGGAAACUCUGAUGCAGCAACGCCGCGUGGAGGAUGACGCAUUUCGGUGUGUAAACUCCUUUUAUAUGGGAAGAUAAUGACGGUACCAUAUGAAUAAGCACC
rnacentral:rRNA from 1 species